GGGUUGUGAGGUUAAGCGAAUAAGCGUACACGGUGGAUGCCUAGGCAAUCAGAGGCGAUGAAGGACGUGCUAAUCUGCGAUAAGCGUCGGUAAGGUGAUAUGAACCGUUAUAACCGACGAUUUCCGAAUGGGGAAACCCAAUAUCCAAUGGAUAUUAUCAUUACGUGAAUACAUAGCGUAAUGAAGCGAACCGGGAGAACUGAAACAUCUCAGUACCCCGAGGAAAAGAAAUCAACCGAGAUUCCCCUAGUAGCGGCGAGCGAACGGGGAACAGCCCAGAGUCUUAAUCAAUAGCAGCAUCAGGAGAACGGUCUGGAAAGUCCGGCAGUAAAGGGUGAUAGCCCCGUAUCUGAAGAUGCUGUUAUUGUGAACUCGACGAGUAGGGCGGGACACGUGUUAUCCUGUCUGAAUAUGGGGGGACCAUCCUCCAAGGCUAAAUACUCCUGAUUGACCGAUAGUGAACCAGUACCGUGAGGGAAAGGCGAAAAGAACCCCGGCGAGGGGAGUGAAAAAGAACCUGAAACCGUGUACGUACAAGCAGUAGGAGCCUCUUUUAUGGGGUGACUGCGUACCUUUUGUAUAAUGGGUCAGCGACUUAUAUUCUGUAGCAAGGUUAACCGUAUAGGGGAGCCGUAGGGAAACCGAGUCUUAACUGGGCGAAUGAGUUGCAGGGUAUAGACCCGAAACCCGGUGAUCUAUCCAUGGGCAGGUUGAAGGUUGGGUAACACUAACUGGAGGACCGAACCGACUAAUGUUGAAAAAUUAGCGGAUGACUUGUGGAUGGGGGUGAAAGGCCAAUCAAACCGGGAGAUAGCUGGUUCUCCCCGAAAGCUAUUUAGGUAGCGCCUCGUGAAUUCAUCUUCGGGGGUAGAGCACUGUUUCGACUAGGGGGUCAUCCCGACUUACCAACUCGAUGCAAACUGCGAAUACCGAAGAAUGUUAUCACGGGAGACACACGGCGGGUGCUAACGUCCGUCGUGAAGAGGGAAACAACCCAGACCGCCAGCUAAGGUCCCAAAGUCAUGGUUAAGUGGGAAACGAAGUGGGAAGGCUCAGACAGCCAGGAUGUUGGCUUAGAAGCAGCCAUCAUUUAAAGAAAGCGUAAUAGCUCACUGGUCGAGUCGGCCCGCGCGGAAGAUGUAACGGGGCUAAACCAUGCACCGAAGCUGCGGCAGCGACACUUAGGUGUUGUUGGGUAGGGGAGCGUUCUGUAAGCCUGCGAAGGUGUGCUGUGAGGCAUGCUGGAGGUAUCAGAAGUGCGAAUGCUGACAUAAGUAACGAUAAUGCGGGUGAAAAACCCGCACGCCGGAAGACCAAGGGUUCCUGUCCAACGUUAAUCGGGGCAGGGUGAGUCGACCCCUAAGGCGAGGCUGAAAAGCGUAGUCGAUGGGAAACGGGUUAAUAUUCCCGUACUGGUGGUAACUGCGAUGGGGGAACGGAGAAGGCUAGGUUGUCCGGGCGACGGUCGUCCCGGUUCAAGCAUGUAGGCAGAGUGAUUAGGCAAAUCCGGUCACUUAAUGCUGAGGUGUGAUGACGAACCACUAAGGUGGUGAAGCAAUUGAUGCCCUGCUUCCAGGAAAAGCCUCUAAGCUUCAGGUUACCAACAAUCGUACCCCAAACCGACACAGGUGGUCAGGUAGAGAAUACUCAGGCGCUUGAGAGAACUCGGGUGAAGGAACUAGGCAAAAUGGUGCCGUAACUUCGGGAGAAGGCACGCUGGCGGUAAGUGAAGUCCCUUGCGGACGGAGCCCAAGCCAGUCGAAGAUACCAGCUGGCUGCAACUGUUUAUUAAAAACACAGCACUGUGCAAACACGAAAGUGGACGUAUACGGUGUGACGCCUGCCCGGUGCUGGAAGGUUAAUUGAUGGGGUUAUCCUUAGGGAGAAGCUCUUGAUCGAAGCCCCAGUAAACGGCGGCCGUAACUAUAACGGUCCUAAGGUAGCGAAAUUCCUUGUCGGGUAAGUUCCGACCUGCACGAAUGGCGUAAUGAUGGCCAGGCUGUCUCCACCCGAGACUCAGUGAAAUUGAACUCGCUGUGAAGAUGCAGUGUACCCGCGGCAAGACGGAAAGACCCCGUGAACCUUUACUAUAGCUUGACACUGAACAUUGAGCCUUGAUGUGUAGGAUAGGUGGGAGACUUUGAAGUGUGGACGCCAGUCUGCAUGGAGUCAACCUUGAAAUACCACCCUUUAACGUUUGAUGUUCUAACCUAGGUCCAUAAUCUGGAUCGGGGACCGUGUCUGGUGGGUAGUUUGACUGGGGCGGUCUCCUCCUAAAGAGUAACGGAGGAGCACGAAGGUUGGCUAAGCAUGGUCGGACAUCAUGCGGUUAGUGCAAAGGCAUAAGCCAGCUUGACUGUGAGAGUGACGGCUCGAGCAGGUACGAAAGUAGGUCUUAGUGAUCCGGUGGUUCUGAAUGGAAGGGCCAUCGCUCAACGGAUAAAAGGUACUCCGGGGAUAACAGGCUGAUACCGCCCAAGAGUUCAUAUCGACGGCGGUGUUUGGCACCUCGAUGUCGGCUCAUCACAUCCUGGGGCUGAAGUAGGUCCCAAGGGUAUGGCUGUUCGCCAUUUAAAGUGGUACGCGAGCUGGGUUUAGAACGUCGUGAGACAGUUCGGUCCCUAUCUGCCGUGGGCGUUGGAAGAUUGAGAGGGGUUGCUCCUAGUACGAGAGGACCGGAGUGAACGCACCACUGGUGUUCGGGUUGUCAUGCCAAUGGCAUUGCCCGGUAGCUAAGUGCGGAAGAGAUAACCGCUGAAAGCAUCUAAGCGGGAAACUUGCCUCGAGAUGAGUCUUCCCUGUCACCUUGAGUGACCUAAAGGAACGUUUAAGACUAAGACGUUGAUAGGCUGGGUGUGUAAGCGUAGCGAUACGUUGAGCUAACCAGUACUAAUGAACCGUGAGGCUUAACCUGACAACACCGAAGGUGUUU
rnacentral:rRNA from 1 species